UGGGGAAUUUUGGACAAUGGGCGCAAGCCUGAUCCAGCCAUGCCGCGUGCGGGAAGAAGGCCUUCGGGUUGUAAACCGCUUUUGUCAGGGAAGAAAUCUUCUGAGUUAAUACCUCGGGAGGAUGACGGUACCUGAAGAAUAAGCACCGGCUAACUACGUGCCAGCAGCCGCGGUAAUACGUAGGGUGCAAGCGUUAAUCGGAAUUACUGGGCGUAAAGCGUGCGCAGGCGGUUUUGUAAGACAGAGGUGAAAUCCCCGGGCUCAACCUGGGAACUGCCUUUGUGACUGCAAGGCUUGAGUGCGGCAGAGGGGGGAUGGAGUUCCGCGUGUAGCAGUGAAAUGCGUAGAUAUGCGGAGGAACACCGAUGGCGAAGGCAAUCCCCUGGGCCUGCACUGACGCUCAUGCACGAAAGCGUGGGGAGCAAACAGGAUUAGAUACCCUGGUAGUCCACGCCCUAAACGAUGUCAACUGGUUGUUGGGAAGGUUCCUUCUCAGUAACGUAGCUAACGCGUGAAGUUGACCGCCUGGGGAGUACGGCCGCAA
rnacentral:rRNA from 1 species